UUAUGCACAGCGUGCACAACCGCUUUUCUCCAAAGAGGAUCCAAAAUCGUCCCCGUAUUCGCAGCUAUGCUGGCAGUUCUUCGAGGGAGCAAUUCCUCCGCGGCCAUGGCUAUGGAGCGCGAUGUGGAGGCCGACGACGACGAGGAAACAAUGCUGAAGAUUCCGGAAGACGGAGAAGAGGACGAAGAAAGCGAGAGUAAUGGCAAGGACGGCCCGCCGUUUCAGCAUCCGUGGAGUCGGAAAAUGGUGGUGGAGGAGGUAGCCAUGAGGCUCAAGGCUGGAGAUCUGGCCGCGCGAAUUAAUGCGGCGAGAGACGUGAGGACGCUGGUCAGGAAGUCUUCCAACAAUUCCAAAUCCGCCGUGCGCCGCCGCCUCGCCGCUGCCGGAGUUAUUGAGCCGCUUGUUUCAAUGCUCCAUGGCUCGUUCCCCACCGCUGCUCGGGAGGUGGCGCUCCUCGCGCUGCUCAAUCUCGCUGCCCGCAAUCAGAAAAACAAGAUCAGAAUUGUAACAGCCGGCGCUGUCCCAUCUCUAGUUGAACUCCUCAAACAUCAACCUGGAAAUCUGUGUGAAUUAGCAGCUGCUGCAAUCCUGUCAUUAUCAUCUGCUCCCUCAAAUAAGCCAACAAUUGCCGCAUCUGGGGCUGUGCUGCUACUGAUCCAAGUCCUCUGCUCGGCAAGCAUUCAAGGACGCGUAGAUGCUGUCACUGCUCUUUACUACCUUUCAACAUCUGAAGAAGAUGAACCAAAACCAGUUCUUGACACUAAAGCUGUACUCCCCCUCUUCGAACUCCUAAAAGAAUGCAAGAAGUACUCCAAGUUGGCUGAAAAAACCACAUACCUCCUUGAGAUAUUCUCCCAUUCUGAAGAAGGAAGAGCCGCAAUCACAAGAGUGGAGGGUGGGAUUUUAGGCUUAGUUGAGACGGUAGAAGAUGGAUCAUCUGUUAGCAUGUCUCAUGCAGUGGGAGCUCUACUGUCUUUAUGCCAAAGCUCCCGUGAUAAAUACCAGGAUCUUAUUCUCAAAGAAGGUGCAAUUCCAGGGCUUUUAAGGCUGACUUGUGAGGGCACUGCUACAGCCAGAGAUCGGGCCCGGACUCUCCUGGAUCUGCUCCGGGACCCACCUCCAGAGCGGAGAUUGACACCCUACGAACUGGAGAGGAUUGUCUAUGACUUUGCUGCACAGGUUGAUGGAACAGAUAAGGCUGCCGAGACAGCAAAGAAGCUUUUACAAGACAUGGUUAAAAAAAGCCUAAGCCUGAGCAAUAUGAAUUUAUAAACACGAAACAGAAGAUCAACUCUUCCAACACUAAGUUGCUGAUUACGCAAAUGUUGAGUGAGUUUCCACUAGCAUUGCGUUCCUUGGGUUGAGUGGUCUGCUGUGACGAGCUUUUCUGUUCAACUGUAUACGCCCGUGCUGCCUUUACAAGUGUCCUUUCCCGAUCAUUUCUCAUCAACUGUUCAGCAUUUUCAUCUUUUCUCUCGCUAAGACACCGGAUGAGUUGACUGCACUGCCAAUGUAGAUUGGAGGCCUGUUGAGUCACUGGUUGACUUGUUUUCUUGUUUUGCUGAUUUGCGAAGUAUGUAUGAAUUACGGGACAGUGAUUUGGAUCCGCAAUAUGGUAUGUCAUAUGCGUUGAAAAACUUUGAGCUUAACGUAUUCCAAUUUCCUUUAAUUUUGUAAAGUUUAUUUCUAGAAUAUGUAUUAGGGUGUGUACAGAUGUUCACUAUUUCAUGUAGUUUUGGGCUCAAAUUCGAAAACAUGGAU